rnacentral:rRNA from 1 species
GACGAACGCUGGCGGCGUGCCUAAUACAUGCAAGUAGAACGCUGAAGGAGGAGCUUGCUCUUCUGGAUGAGUUGCGAACGGGUGAGUAACGCGUAGGUAACCUGCCUGGUAGUGGGGGAUAACUAUUGGAAACGAUAGCUAAUACCGCACAAUAACAGUUGUUGCAUGACAACUGUUUGAAAGGUGCAAUUGCAUCACUUCCAGAUGGACCUGCGUUGUAUUAGCUAGUUGGUGGGGUAACGGCUCACCAAGGCGACGAUACAUAGCCGACCUGAGAGGGUGAUCGGCCACACUGGGACUGAGACACGGCCCAGACUCCUACGGGAGGCAGCAGUAGGGAAUCUUCGGCAAUGGACGAAAGUCUGACCGAGCAACGCCGCGGGAGUGAAGAAGGUUUUCGGAUCGUAAAGCUCUGUUGUAAGAGAAGAACGAGUGUGAGAGUGGAAAGUUCACACUGUGACGGUAUCUUACCAGAAAGGGACGGCUAACUACGUG